rnacentral:rRNA from 1 species
UGGUAAUUCUAGAGCUAAUACAUGCUAAAAACCUCGACUUCGGAAGGGGUGUAUUUAUUAGAUAAAAAACCAAUGCCCUUCGGGGCUCCUUGGUGAAUCAUAAUAACUUAACGAAUCGCAUGGCCUUGCGCCGGCGAUGGUUCAUUCAAAUUUCUGCCCUAUCAACUUUCGAUGGUAAGAUAGAGGCUUACCAUGGUCUUAACGGGUAACGGGGAAUUAGGGUUCUAUUCCGGAGAGGGAGCCUGAGAAACGGCUACCACAUCCAAGGAAGGCAGCAGGCGCGCAAAUUACCCAAUCCCGACACGGGGAGGUAGUGACAAUAAAUACUGAUACGGGGCUCUUUUGGGUCUCGUAAUUGGAAUGAGUACAAUCUAAAUCCCUUAACGAGGAACAAUUGGAGGGCAAGUCUGGUGCCAGCAGCCGCGGUAAUUCCAGCUCCAAUAGCGUAUAUUAAAGUUGUUGCCGUUAAAAAGCUCGUAGUUGAACCUUGGGCCUGGCUGACCUGUCCUCCUAAUCGAGCGCACGGGUUCGGUCGGGCCUUUCCUUCUAGGGAACCCCAUGCCCUUCACUGGGUGUGGUGGGGAACUAGGACUUUUACCUUGAAAAAAUUAGAGUGUUCAAAGCAGGCCUUUGCUCGAAUACAUUAGCAUGGAAUAAUAGAAUAGGACAUCGGUUCUAUUUUGUUGGGUUUCUAGGACCGCCGUAA